rnacentral:rRNA from 1 species
GAUGAACGCUGGCGGCGUGCCUAAUACAUGCAAGUCGAGCGAAUGGAUUAAGAGCUUGCUCUUAUGAAGUUAGCGGCGGACGGGUGAGUAACACGUGGGUAACCUGCCCAUAAGACUGGGAUAACUCCGGGAAACCGGGGCUAAUACCGGAUAAUAUUUUGAACCGCAUGGUUCGAAAUUGAAAGGCGGCUUCGGCUGUCACUUAUGGAUGGACCCGGGUCGCAUUAGCUAGUUGGUGAGGUAACGGCUCACCAAGGCAACGAUGCGUAGCCGACCUGAGAGGGUGAUCGGCCACACUGGGACUGAGACACGGCCCAGACUCCUACGGGAGGCAGCAGUGGGGAAUCUUCCGCAAUGGACGAAAGUCUGACGGAGCAACGCCGCGUGAGUGAUGAAGGCUUUCGGGUCGUAAAACUCUGUUGUUAGGGAAGAACAAGUGCUAGUUGAAUAAGCUGGCACCUUGACGGUACCUAACCAGAAAGCCACGGCUAACUACGUGCCAGCCGCCGCAGUAA